AUUGAACGCUGGCGGAAUGCUUUACACAUGCAAGUCGAACGGCAGCACGGACUUCGGUCUGGUGGCGAGUGGCGAACGGGUGAGUAAUGUAUCGGAACGUGCCCAGUCGUGGGGGAUAACGUAGUGAAAAUUACGCUAAUACCGCAUACGAUCUAUGGAUGAAAGCGGGGGAUCGCAAGACCUCGCGCGAUCGGAGCGGCCGAUAUCAGAGUAGGUAGUUGGUGGGGUAAAGGCCCACCAAGCCAACGAUCUGUAGCUGGUCUGAGAGGACGACCAGCCACACUGGAACUGAGACACGGUCCAGACUCCUACGGGAGGCAGCAGUGGGGAAUUUUGGACAAUGGGCGAAAGCCUGAUCCAGCCAUUCCGCGUGCAGGAUGAAGGCCCUCGGGUUGUAAACUGCUUUUGUACAGAACGAAAAGGUUUCUACUAAUACUAGGAGCUCAUGACGGUACUGUAAGAAUAAGCACCGGCUAACUACGUGCCAGCCGCCGCAGUAA
rnacentral:rRNA from 1 species